rnacentral:rRNA from 1 species
UACAGAGGGUGCAAGCGUUAAUCGGAAUUACUGGGCGUAAAGCGCGCGUAGGUGGUUUGUUAAGUUGGAUGUGAAAUCCCCGGGCUCAACCUGGGAACUGCAUCCAAAACUGGCAAGCUAGAGUAUGGUAGAGGGAAGCGGAAUUUCCGGUGUAGCGGUGAAAUGCGUAGAUAUCGGAAGGAACACCAGUGGCGAAAGCGGCUUCCUGGUCCAGCACCGACGUUCAGGCACGAAAGCGUGGGGAGCAAACAGG